ACACUCCUGCGGGAGGCAGCAGUGGGGAAUUUUGGACAAUGGGCGAAAGCCUGAUCCAGCAAUGCCGCGUGAGUGAAGAAGGCCUUCGGGUUGUAAAGCUCUUUUGUCAGGGAAGAAACGGUGAAAGCUAAUAUCUUUUGCUAAUGACGGUACCUGAAGAAUAAGCACCGGCUAACUACGUGCCAGCAGCCGCGGCAAUACGUAGGGUGCAAGCGUUAAUCGGAAUUACUGGGCGUAAAGCGUGCGCAGGCGGUUUUGUAAGUCUGAUGUGAAAUCCCCGGGCUCAACCUGGGAAUUGCAUUGGAGACUGCAAGGCUAGAAUCUGGCAGAGGGGGGUAGAAUUCCACGUGUAGCAGUGAAAUGCGUAGAUAUGUGGAGGAACACCGAUGGCGAAGGCAGCCCCCUGGGUCAAGAUUGACGCUCAUGCACGAAAGCGUGGGGAGCAAACAGGAUUAGAUACCCGAGUAGUCCC
rnacentral:rRNA from 1 species